AAAAUAUAAAGGUCUUUUUGUCAAGUCACCUAUCCAGGUGUCUUGGCAAAAUCCUCUGAUCUUCCCUAUGUGCACUUUAGAUAUAUGCUUUGGUAGGCGUUUCGGCCUACCAAAAUCUUUAAAAUUAUCCUUAAUUUCUGUCAAAUUAUAUAAUUUUAUAAUAAAAAA
rnacentral:misc_RNA from 1 species